UACGUAGGGGGCAAGCGUUGUCCGGAAUCAUUGGGCGUAAAGAGCGUGUAGGCGGCCUGGUAAGUCCGCUGUGAAAGUCCAGGGCUCAACCCUGGAAUGCCGGUGGAAACUGUCAGGCUCGAGUCCGGAAGAGGCGAGUGGAAUUCCUGGUGUAGCGGUGAAAUGCGCAGAUAUCAGGAGGAACACCAAUGGCGAAGGCAGCUCGCUGGGACGGUACUGACGCUGAGAAGCGAAAGCAUGGGGAGCGAACAGG
rnacentral:rRNA from 1 species